GACGAACGCUGGCGGCGCGCUUAACACAUGCAAGUCGAACGGAAAGGCCUGCUUUCCCUUGUGGAUUGCGGGUACUCGAGUGGCGAACGGGUGAGUAACACGUGAGUGAUCUGCCCCCAACUUGGGUAUAAGCCUGGGAAACUGGGUCUAAUUCCCGAUAGGACUGCAGGGUGGUGCCUGUGGUGGAAAACGAUUUUCUAGUGGUUGGGGAUGAGCUCGCGGCCUAUCAGCUUGUUGGUGGGGUAAUGGCCUACCAAGGCGGCGACGGGUAGCCGGCCUGAGAGGGUGGACGGCCACAUUGGGACUGAGUUACGGCCCAUACUCCUACGGGAGGCAGCAGUGGGGAAUAUUGCACCAUGGGCGGAAGCCUGAUGCAGCGACGCCGCGUGGGGGAUGACGGCCUUCGGGUUGUAAACUCCUUUCGACCGCGAGGAAGCCACCUGGUUGGAAGGGUGGUGACGGUAGUGGUAGAAGAAGCACCGGCUAACUACGUG
rnacentral:rRNA from 1 species